CCUAUCCAUGAGCAUGGAAUGUUGUUUUCAUUUGUUUGUGUCAUCUCUGAUUUCUUUGAGCACUGUUUAGUAACCUCUAUGCAGUUAUACCAGGAGAGAGCAUUACAAGAAAAGAUUAAGACUUACUCAAAGUAGUGAUCAGUUAUCAGCCCCAAUUAUCUGUGAUCAAUAAAUAGAUCAACAAACAAAUAAAAAGUAACCUUAUUGAUGUACUUACAUUAUAACUUAUGAAAGAGCCAGAGUAAAGAUCUGAAAUACAAAUAACUAUUGAAAAGUAAAUUACUGGACACUUACCCUAUUUAUUUGUUUCUACUGAGUUGGGCACCAACAUUAUUGGUAUGAGAAAGCAGACUCUUAUCUAUUCAGUAUGGAGUUCCUGAUGAAUUUGAUAUAGUCCCUCUAAAUGGUGGCAAGAACCAUAACCAAGGCCAUGGUAGUAGAAGUAGGGAACAGGACAGUUUUAAGCUUUAUUUUGGGGAGUAGAAAAAUGUUAAAAAAAACUGGCAAAUGUUAACAGCAGUAAUAAACAUUAUUGAGCAAUUGUUAUGUGCCAAGCCUUAUGGUCAGCUGUUCCCUGUGAACCAUGCUCUGAGCAUCCCCAUGGUCACUUUUAUCUCUGCCUGUUGCAAACCUGAUAUGGUCCCAGAGGUGGGGAUAGGAUACCCUGAGUAUUCAGUGGAGUCUUAGUACCUAUGGGUGUGCACCUGUGGUCUCAGCCACUCAGGAGGCUGAAGUGGGAGGAUCACUUCAGCCCAGGAGUUUGAGAAUACAGUGAGCUAUGAUUGCACCAUUGCACUCCAGCCUGGAGAACAGAGUGAGGCUACAAACAACCCCAUCAAAAAGUUGGCGAAGGGCAUGAACAGACACUUCUCAAAAGAAGACAUUUAUGAAGCCAAAAAACACAUGAAAAAAUGCUCACCAUCACUGGCCAUCAGAGAAAUGCAAAUCAAAACCACAGUGACAUACCAAAUAAGAACAUGAAGUUGUCUGGAUGGCAAAAAGAUUGACAAAAAAAUCUGAUUCUUCUCUCAUUCACGAGAACCUACUUAGAAAGUAUGGUUUUCUGAAAAGUUUGCAGGCCAGUGGGACUGAGCGCUACGCUUGGAACAGUUUUCUGACAAAUUACUACUAGAGUUAUCUUAUUAGCAACUGUCUCUAUUAUAAUAUCAUGAACAUCUAUAUUUUAGAAAUAAAAAGCCAAGUUUCUAUAAAUAUUUACAUAUCCCUAUAUAUUAAUUUAUUUUAUUGACAGGCACAAAUUGUAUAUAUUUAUGAUAUACAACCUGAUAUUUUGAUAUACACAUCACUAGGCCUCUGCUCUGACUUCACAGAGAAAACUUAAGCUACCAGAAGGGGAUUCUAUGACUUCCUACCUCAAAACCUCAACUCUUAUCGAAGUCCUCCACUUCUUAAUAUAAAGGAAGACUGUUCAUUUAGCUAAUGAUUAAUGUAGGCACAUGUAACUUUGGGAAUUGCCUUUCAAAUACUUCAUCAUCUCCUUAUGUCCUGCAUCAACCUCUUAAUUGAUAGAAAUUAAUUAUUUUCUUGACCCUGAAAUGUUCAUAUUAUAUGGAAGACAACAGAUAUUGAAUGUACAAUUUCAAUACAACUGAGUAUUAUUCAUUCAGCCAAUAAUGUUUACUGGGUACAUAUUAGUAGUCAAACAUUGUUUACUUAGAAUACAGUAGUCUACACAGACACUACCCUUUUUCUUUCUAAAGGUACAUUUUAUGGGAGGAGAGAAACUGAAAAAAAGAGUAGAUAUAUCAUGUUAAAAGGCUCUACAUACUAUGGAGGAAUGCAGCAAAGUGGAAAGGUAAAUAGGCAAUCCAGGAAUGAGGUAGUACAAUAUCACAGAGUCAUGUCUGAAGUUCACACUAAAAAUGGUGACAUUUGAGCCAAAACCUGAAGGUGGCAAGGAGGAAAGCCAAUGCAGAUAUUCAGAGGGAGUGCUUCCUAGACAGAUGAGAUAUCAAGUGAAAACCCUGAGGCUGAGGCAGGAGAGGGCUUAGCAUAUGCAGGAAAAAGCAAGGCAGGCUGUGUAAAUUAAAAGUGAGAGGUGAUUUAGUAAGAACUCAUGCCAGAGAGGAAAUGAAAGUCCAUCAUGGAGGAAGAGUGACAUGAUCUGACUUGGGUUACAAAAAGACAACUCUGUCUACUGUGUUGAAAAAAUACUAAAUGGAACAAGGACAGAUGCAAGGAACAAGGCUCAGCAGCUAUUGCAGUCAUGCAUGUAAAAACAGUGGUUUGGGCUGGGAGAGGAGUGGUGGCUGCAGAGAGACAUUGCUGAGAUCCGAAUAUAUAAAGACACAACUGCUGUUAAUGUGUGGUAUAAUGGGACAAGCAUUCAAGGAUGACCCCAAGAUUUCUAACAUACAGAUUUUCCACUUACUUUGUUGGGACAACAGUGUCAGGAGUAGUUUUGGAAGGAGUUUUUGUCUUGGUUUGUUAAUUAUUAAAUGCCUAUGCAAUGUCCAAGUGACAUAAGAAGCACAAGAUAUGAUCCUGGAGUUCACAGGCGUGUCGUGAAGUCCAAGUGUGGUGUGUAAAAGGAGCCUAAAAUUUGCAUAUUAAAAUUGUGUGAGUAAUUAGAUAGUCUUCCCAGAGGAAUUGAUUUUUAAAAUUUUUUUUAAUUUUUAUUUUUUGUGGGUACAUAAUAGAUAUAUGUAUUCAUGGGGUACAUGAGAUGUUUUGAUACAGGCAUACAAUGUGAAAUAAUCAUAUAUGAAGAAUAUGGUUUCCAUCCCCUCAAGCAUUUACCCUUUGUUGAAACACAGCAAAUAAAGAUCCAUUAAAAACAAAAUAUUUAUUGCAGUAUAAAAACUUGACCUUGGAAAACAAAUUUUAAAAUCUAUUUGAGAUAUGUUUUCUCACAAUUUACCCAAAUAAAUGUUUCCUUUUCAAAAGUUAUUUUUUGGAACAUGAAAAGUAUUACAUUUCAAUACUUUGUUAAAGCAUUGAAUUUAAUUUUAAAAUAUUGGCAUGGCACGGUGGCUCACGCCUGUAAUCCCAGCACUUUGGGAGGCCAAGAUGGGUGGAUCACAAGAUCAGGAGAUCGAGACCACCCUGGCUAUCACGGUGAAACCCCGUCUCUACAAAAAAUACACAAAAUUAGCCGGGCAUGGUGGUGGGCACCUGUAGUCCCAGCUAUUCAGGAGGCUGAGGCAGGAGAAUGGCGUGAACCCAGUUGGCAGAGCUUGCAGUGAGCUGAGAUUGUGCCACUGCACUCCAGCCUGGGCGACAGAAUGAAAAUCCGUCUCAAAAAUAAUAAUAACAAUUAAAAGAUUAAAAAAAUUAAAAUAUGUACCAAAGUUAGUCAUUAAAAUGAUUUCAGUAUCAUAUUGGUAAAUUUACAGGAGCACAUAUUUUCCUGUUUUUGUUUUUUCACAAACUAUAAUUUCAUAUAUUGAAGUGAAUCCUUGUUGGUGACAUUCCAGAAUGAAAGUAAUAGUUUAAGUUACAGUUAUGUGCUUCAUUUAUGAGUUUUUUUAUACAUUACUGCAUGCAGUCAAUGAUUCAACAAAUAUUUAUUGAAUGACUAUAUUGUACCACCAAAUGUGCAAAGAACUCGAGAUACAAUGGAGGAGAAAGAUAUUUCCUGAUUUCCCCACCAAAUUCUGAGAUCAGUGGAAAAGAUGGACAGUCAUUUAAUACACAAUGUAAAAAAUGCCAUGAGAGUAAAAAGGUAUGAUACUUGGGGAAUAAACUGAAAUAUAAUAAAGAAAAAUGGCAAAGAUAGAAAGGGCAUACUGAAAGGAAUAAUGACUACACUCAGACCUGAAAUAUCUGUGGUAUUUGCAGUGAAAAGUGAAUUGUAGAAAUAGAGAACAGUUUGUUAGAUCUGUGCGAAGAGAGGAUAGAACAAUCAUGAAAAUAACAGUAAUUUUAAAUAGAUAUUUAGAUGAACUGAAUGGGGUUUUGUAAAUCCUAACACUUACUUUUUCUUUCCUCUAGGGAUUCUUUUGAGAAGGAAAUUAGACAAGGUCUGAUAUUAAUGAUAUUCCAUUUUACUAAUAACCAGGAUAGUACUGUGAUAGAGCUAGAACAAACUAAUAUGAACAUAAAAUAACCUAGACAAAGUACGUAUUAUACCCUUCCCAAUUAACCAAAAAUGACUACAUUCACAGAUUGAAUUCCAUCUGAUUUGCCCCAUAGAGUCCAGCAGAAAACUUGAACCACAGUAAGAGCAGAUCAAUCAGAGUAACAGGCAGAUGUUGCCCAAAUAUGCUCAUACUAUGGGAGACAUGAAGCACAAAACAGAUCAACCUAUCUGUUGAUCUAGCAGGAGCCUAGCAGGGUUCUGUGUAUAUUCUGUGCAAAGAACAACGAGAUUAGUAAGUACUCUUUCAGUGGAAGUAGGCCUAGGAAGGGAGUGGCACAAAUACACACGAAUGACUUGGAAGUGCCCAGGAAUGACAAUGUCUUCGGGUGUGGCAAGGGGAGGAAGUGACUGAAGUAGACUGGAUAAAAGUAGUUUGUCCAGAGGUUAUCAAAAGUCAUCCACAAGAAUGUCAAAGUCCUCCAAAAUAAGAGAAUUUAGGAGAUUUGAAAGAAAUAAAGUGAUUCAGGUUCUAGAGCUUUGUUGAACAAGAAAAGAUGACCAUGAAUUUGACAAGACAAAGAUAACUAGAGGGUGAUACAGACAGAGA
rnacentral:lncRNA from 1 species